CCCUGACCAGGAAUCGAACCCACAGCCUUUUGGUGUACAGGAUGAUGCUCCAACCAACUGAGCCACACAGGCCAGGCCUGGACAUGUUUUUUAAAAUGUACAUUUAGUUCUGGAAUUGCUCUCAUAAAGAAUAAAGUGUUGAGGUUGAAGACAAGAGGUUUGUAAUUGUCUUCAGGAAAAAUGGUGGUUAGUCAUUUCUUUCCCUUUUUCUAUUACAUCCCAAAGGGUAUGCAUCCUUGACACACACACAACCUAUCCUCUGCCCUAGCCCUCCAAACCCUAGGUUUCUAUGCCUUACCAGCUUGCACUUUGUGCUCUGGUCUUUAGGUUCCUUGAUUUUGGCUUUUGGGGAGGUCCUUUAUUUCUUUGUGAACUUAGCUAUGCAUGUGAACAGAUGUUUCUUAUACUUUACUCAGAAUUUUUGGACUCUCUUCUAUUGGGAAGGAUUUUUAGGUUAUCUUUUCUAAAACAUUGUUAGAAAAGAAAGUCUCCCUAAUUUUCUCCACCUUGGAACACUUCUGUACAUUUGCUCUUUUCUUCCUCUACUUCUGCCUCCAAGAAGUGCCUCUACUAACAUGUGACCACAUUUUUUCAGAUAUUAUUAGUCAUUUUUUGUUUUCAUCUUUAGCUGCUCCCAGAAGCUUUUACUAACUUACUGCUUUCUUCCUGACCAUAGUACAGGUUUGCAUUAUUCUCAUCUCAGUAAUAAUAAUCUUGUUAACUCAGUAGCUUAAAAAUCAGUCUGUUAGAAACUGACCUGAUGAUGACCCCUGGUGUAUCAGUUAGGAUGCCUUGGACAAGUAACAAAAGUCAAUUAAAAUGGCUUAAAUAAUAGACCUUGUUGUCUACUAACAAGAAAUCUAGAGAUAAACUCUCUUACCUAUCUUCUUGUCUAGGAUCUAAAACUGGUGCAGCAUUUUAGUGAUAACUUUUAGGAAUCUAUACUUUUUGCUUCCUUUGUUUUUAGUAUUUGGCUUAUAAAAAGCCUCAGGCUCAUUGCUUCUUGUUUGCAAAGUAGUUGCUGCAGCACCAGACAUCAUGCUUAUGUAAGGAUAGGUAGGGAAGGCGUUUGUUUACUUACUGCUGCCUCUUAACAGAGAGGAGUCUUUGCCAGAAGGUCACCAUGAAGACUUCCUCAGUUUCAUUAGUUAGAACUGAUCUCAUGCCACUGCUGCUUGUCAGGAAGGUUGAGGAAGUGAAAUCUGGCGUUUUUCAGCUUCUGUCAGGGAGGUGGCCUUUGCUAAGAUAGAAGAAGGGUAAGGAGAAAGCUCUGGGUUGGCAGCCUAUAGGUUAUAUCCCAGAACUAGCUAGCUACUUUGUCUCUGGCUUGGUAUCAAUCUCUUCGUCUGUUUAUAAAUUUUCUGCCUCAUUCUAAAAUAAUUAGAGGUGACCUAUGAAAUGUAGAUUAAAAUCCUGCUGAGGAGGAAAAUAAAGUAGGGAUUUAUAGGCUGUACAUGAGUGCUUGCCAUAGAUUAGAAAUAGGCCAUAUAUUUGGCUCUGAGCUUCCUAUUUGGCAAAACAAAGAGGAAAACAAGACCAGUUAAUUUUAUUCACUUGGUUAAUGGAACUACAAUUCACUCACCCAAGCUAAAGCUUAGACGUUUCUCAUCCUCUUUCACUGGUCAGUAGUAAAAGAGGAGCUGCAUGUCUUCCCAUGCGUGUCCUCUCCUGUAUCUACUGCCAUUGCCUUAAGUCUGAUCUGUCCUUCCCUAUAUUGUAAUAAUCAGUAAUCCUUUCAUCUGGCUCAGCCUCCUGUAACUUUAUCUUUUCCAUCAUCAGUUGAAUCAUCUUUAUCCUUUUUGAUUCCCUUGAUCGGAAACCUCGAGGGCUCCCAGUUGCUUACUGAAAUGCAGACUCCUCAGAACCUGGGGCCGAACCAGCUUCUGUAGUUUCAGCUCAGUUUCUUCCCCCUGAACUUCUGCCUCUUCGCCCAUUGCCUUUGCUGCUACUUCUGAUGGAACGUUUCUUUAUUGCGUUCCUUGUUCCCUUGCUCUAGUAAGACUCUCUCCUUCCACUGAAUGUCCAAAACACUGUUGAGUUUUAUUCUCAAUUUUAUCUUAUAUAACAAUAGCUGCUUGUUUAUUUUUUGUUCUUCUCCCCAGUUAGAUUAUUAUCCCCUUGAGACCUGGGAUUUUUGCCUUACUUAGUAUCCACUUCAUUGUCCAGCACAGUGUCUUGCUCAGGGCCUCAUGUAUGUAUUGAAUUGAACUUAACUGGUCAACGUUUGAAUAGUUUGUGAAUUAUCUGGAAAAUUUUAAUUCUUUCUCUUGCUGUCCAGUAUGCUUCUAGUUGUCUUUCAUUACCUUAAUAUUUUUCUUCAGGGAGUGCAAACUUUCAUUUAUCUGUAUUUUUUGUGUGUGACAAAGUCAGCCAUAUGCAAACGAACUUAUAUAUAUAUAUCUAUAUCUCUAUGUCUUUUAAAAUCCAUGCAUAUAUUAGUUGUGAGGAAUGUCUAUGGCAUGGAGAAAUUCUCAAAGAGAGAAUAAAAUGCUAAUGAUGGGCUGAGGAACCAGGAGUCUGCGCGGGACAGUGCCCGUGGUGUGGGACAGUCCUGAGUGCAGCGGUGCUGCGUGCAGGAGGGUAAGGCAGGGCUCGACAGGUCUGACAUUAAGGCGCUUGGAGUGCUUGUGCUCUUCCCCUCCUUUUUGUGUUAUGGCCAGUUCUGGUCCUAAGGUUUUAUUUCUGAUUAUUAACAAUACAUUGAUAUCAAUGAAAGGCUUUCUUCCUAUAGAAAGUAAACUUACUUGGAAGUGGAUUUUCUGAGAAUCUGACAUUAAUGCUGAUAUCUUUUUAUAAUUGGUCAGCUUGAAUUAGCAUUAAUAGCUUUUGAUAGCUUGUUCUUGUUUCUCAUUGUGAGAUUCAGGUUAGAAAUACCUCUUGAGAAUUAGUCAUUUAAGCAGAACGUACAUUUAAAAAUAUUUGUGGCUAUAAAAGAGGUUAUAAUUUGUGGCUUAUGCUUUCAGUAGAAGAAGGUAUCAAAAUACUCCAUUUUAAAUAGAAUCAAGUAUUUUAGCAAUUAUUGCAUGAAUAUUUCAGUUCUAAGGAUAUUUUUCAUAUGUUCCGUAUUCAGUCAAACUGUCUGCUACUUCAGAUUUGAAUUUUUAUUUUAAUUAGAAAAUGUUGUUAAUGAGUUGUUUUCAGUCUAGGAAGGUAGACUUGUAGUUUUUGAAAUCAGUUAAUAUACUGAGUAUAACACAGUAAUAUGAAAAGGACCCCACCCUUCCCAAAUAGCAUUACCUCUGAUUCGGAUUCUUUUUAGUUCUAUCUUUGAGGAUUUUUUUUCUGGUGAAUAAUUUUUUGAAAACCCUUCACUCCUUGCUGACCUAUAGCAGCCGUAUUCACGGAGACAGCCUGUCAUCCCCUUGCGUCAAUGGCUGUCAGGGACCUGGCUCUCUCUCUGAGUGGGGCAUUCCUGCUUUUGCGGGCAGGGCCGCCCGGACAUACCCACCUCUGAGUGUGAAUCUGGGAAGAAGCAGGGAGUACCUGUAGGCCAUUUGGAGAGGAUGGACAGUGGUGGCAACUCUGCAAUUUCUAUUAAUAUUUCUAGAGUCUGUGAAGGCUGGUCCUGGCUUUGUGGAUGGUGUGCUCUGCUGUGUGCCCUUAGGCGUAGUUUUGGUUGUGGAGCUUACGCCCUCGGUUCUCUGGAUUUCCUAGAGAUUCUGUGAACUGUCCCAAUAGCCUUUGAAAAGCAAAUCACUCUUCUGUUUAAAUUAGCUAAUUGAUUUCUGAUGCUCACAACUAAGACUU